UGUGUAAAAGAAAUCAAAAUAGAGCUAUAAAUAACGAGCAAAAAAUAAAGCAUCUGCCACCUCCUAGUUGGUAUAAAUAGAAUAACAAGAACAAAUUAUUUUUGCACAUAUGAAAAAAAGUAUUUUCGAGGAGUCAAACCUACAGAAAACACCCAUUUUCAUUUAAAAGAAAAUGGGUGUUUUCAGCUUUAAAAGCCCUCUAAAAUACUUUUUUAGCUAUUUGU
rnacentral:sRNA from 1 species